rnacentral:lncRNA from 1 species
UUUUUGUUAUUUUGUCAAAGUAAAAGUCAUAAUCUGUGGUUGUUGUGAUUAACGUAUUAAACAUCUGUUUGAACCUGUGUUUGUUGGAUCAGUUUUGAGUGGUAAUGUUUAGGUAUAUAUGUUGUGAGUUGUAGAAGGCAAAUUAAGGCCCAAAGUCCAUCGCCGGGGUUCAAGUUCAAAAGGUAUGAGAAAAGAAGGCACAUGUUCCAGGUUUCACGAACGAGCCAACUUAAGAAUAUAAAAAUGAUGAAAAUACCCCUUAAGAAGGUCGGUAAGAUUGACCCAAGAUCCAUAAGAAAUCAAAAGGGUUCUAUUUGUUGAAAUUAGAGCUAAAAUAGGCAUGGUCGACAUGCUAUACGGUACUCCAAAUAGUAGGCACCAAAACAGGAUUGUGUUGCACCGCUAUGACUUUUAUUAUAAUUUUCUUUAUUAGUAAAUAGGUAAUAAUUUUGAAAUGGGAUGGUCAAUAUUUGACGAG